rnacentral:rRNA from 1 species
UGACAGUACCAUAUCAGAAAGCUCCGGCUAAAUACGUGCCAGCAGCCGCGGUAAUACGUAUGGAGCGAGCGUUAUCCGGAAUUAUUGGGCGUAAAGCGCGCGUAGGCGGUUUAAUAAGUCGAAUGUUAAAGAUCGGGGCUCAACCCCGUAAAGCAUUGGAAACUGAUAAACUUGAGUAGAGAAGAGGAAAGUGGAAUUCCAUGUGUAGCGGUGAAAUGCGCAGAGAUAUGGAGGAACACCAGUAGCGAAGGCGACUUUCUGGACACAAACUGACGCUGAGGUACGAAAGCGUGGGGAGCAAACAGGAUUAGAUACCCCGGUAGUCC